rnacentral:lncRNA from 1 species
AAUCAACAGAGGGACUCCAGGUGAAACUCCAGUUAAAUUAGGCAAUGGAGCUGUCCAACUACCCAGAUGACCCAGGAGAGCAAAAGUCCACGUGGCCUUGGGUUUCAGCAAGGAAGGAGUGUGCAGCAUUCCCAGACCCCUUGGUGCCUCCCCAGUCUCUCUUUUCCCAGAACAAGAACAGGUGGCACCUGGCAGGUGCCUCCUAUUAGAGGGAACUAGAACCUGAAAAGGUAAAACUCAACCCAAAUUCCUCUCGAAUCUUUGGAAAAGGAGUGAACAUUUAAAAAUUUUUAAAACGUGAAAGUUGUUUCAGUAACUUAUUAGAGAGGUCGAGGUGAUGAGAUUUUCAUGCUUGAUCCAGAAGAGCAAUGAAAUCAUAACUUAACAUGAGACAGAUCACUAGAGCCUUGGGAAAGCAGGGGUGGGAGAGGACCCACGGUCCAUCUAAUUCAUCCGCCCACUUCAUCUUCUUUUCCGUCCACCACAUCCACCAGGGGAGCACGCCGCCUCCCCAGUCAAAGAAGACAGCAAACAAGCCAAAUCACUAUUUCUGAAGUUAUUUUCCAGACUGCAUCUUCAGUGUCAAUCCUGAAAAUGAUCCAACAAGACUGCCGUUUAAAACAUAAGAGACUGUCCACGUGUUUGUCUUUUGGGGAAGAUGAAAAGUAAAUGAAAGUGUGGUACCUAACUUAGAAGGGGAAAGGUGAGUUUUGAACACCUGCAGAGGACACCAAUGUGACUUCAUGGAGUCCAGACACACAGUCUGGAAAGGCUUAGGAACUAGAAAUAAUUUGUAAGGUCGGAGUGAAGGACAGAGCUGAAAACAUCUUGUGACUCCAGCAUCGACUAGGACAUCUGCAUCCAGCCAGCAGACAAAAAAAAAAGAGGGUGUAGAAUCGCACAUGAGGAAUUUCUAUGGGCCAAGAAGUAGCACACAUCACAUCAGCCUAUAUUCUACUGGCCAGAAUUUAAUCACAUGGCCACACUUACCUCCAAGGGAAGCUGGGAAAGGUGAUCUAGCUCUGUGUCCAGAACAAAAAGGAAAUAGGUUUUGGUAAUCAUGUACCAGUUUCUGCCACAGGCUAAUUCUAAUUGCUAGAGCAAAUGAUAAAGUUCAAACAAGGAACAUACCACUUUCAUAUCACUUAUAUCUUCUCCAUGCUCUAUUACGGGGUGCUCACUGAAUACUGAGUCAUAAACCAAAAUACCUCUGAGAGGUUGCUUUGUGUGCUUAACAAUAAUAUUGUAUAGUGUUUACUCUGUGCCAGGCAUGGUUUUAAGUACGCUACAUACACAAACUCAUUUAAUCCUCCCAACAACCCUGUGAAGGAGAUAUUAUCCUCCUCAUCCCCAUUUUACAGAUGAGAAAACUGAGGCCCAUUGAGGCUGCAUAACUGGCCCUGAUUCGAGUCCACGCUUUUAACCUAAAUUCUUCUACUCCAAACUGACUCUAUACAAGAUCAAUAGGAAUUCCCCAAGUUGAAAGCAGGUGUUUAAUGUGCCUCUCAGGAUCAGGAGUUGUCCUGGUAUUCGUGGCUCCUUACAGUGCAGGACCAUUUUCAGCUUGGGCC